GCCUCAUCUAGUAUAGUGGUUAUGACGCUCAGUUUGUAAUCGAGUGGGCUUGGGUUCAAAUCCCGAAUAAGGCU